AAUGACGUAUUUCCUCCUUCGCUUAGAUAAUGCCAUUUUCGAAGGCCUUACAUGGUGGCUUCAGUUUUUCGCCUCGUGUGAAGAAAUAUUCCUCUAAGCUGUAUUUCUUAGUUUGCAUUUUGAGGUCAGACAAGCCUUUUUUUGUUGACUCCGUCUGACCUCUUUGGUGAGCGUAUGCGUUUUUGAAGGAAUCGUUUUUUUGUCGGAUUAGUUAGUGGGGAACCAUACGCAGUUUUCUUUAAGAGGCACAUUUGCUCGGUCGUCGUCCGGUGUUGACGACACAGAUCUCCCCGUCUGGUCCCAACGAACAAAGGAACAGUGAGGCCGAUGCACUCUCGUUAGCGAAAUCGCAGCUAAGUAUUGUUUAUGGACUAAUUUAAAUGUAAACGCACCGUAAAGGCAUUUUUUUGAUAUUUAAUUUUAUUUAAGGCGUACUUGCCUGAAAAUUUAACUAACCUAUUAGCCCGACUCAUUCAGUCCUGUUAGCAACAUCAGCUAAGGUUAGCUGCACUACAACUGCUAACAUUAGCACUGUUUAGAUUCGAGCGAGAAGUUUUCUUUUUUUGUGGAAAAUGGCCGAAGUGUACAUUCGAGUGGCAGAGGAGGAAAAUGAGGAGCCCAUGGAGAUCCCGUCGGAGGAUGACGGCACUGUCCUGCUCUCAACGGUGGCAGCUCAGUUUCCAGGGGCGUGCGGCCUGCGGUUCAGGAGCCCCGUGUCUCAGUGCAUGCGGGGAGUGCGUCUAGUGGAAGGGGUCCUACACGCUCCAGAGAACGGAUGGGGGAACGUCGUGUAUGUGGUGAACUAUCCAAAAGACAACAAAAGGAAGAUGGAAGAAAUUGAUGCCUCCUCUGCUGUGAAAAUGAAGAGAGGGGAUAUGAAGACAUCUGAUCUGAUCGUAUUGGGUCUUCCUUGGAAAACAACUGAGCAGGACCUGAAAGACUACUUUAGCACUUUUGGAGAAGUCAUCAUGGUUCAGGUUAAACGAGAUGCCAAGACUGGAAACUCUAAAGGAUUCGGCUUUGUGAGGUUCACAGAGUAUGAGGCUCAAGAAAAAGUAAUCUCCCAGCGCCAUAUGAUUGACGGGAGAUGGUGCGACUGCAAGCUCCCUAACUCGAAGGUGAAUAUGCAGGGUCCGGAUGAGCCUCUGAGGAGCCGGAAAGUGUUUGUAGGCCGUUGCACAGAGGACAUGACCACAGACGACCUACGACAGUUCUUUAUGCAGUAUGGAGAAGUCACAGAUGUCUUCAUCCCCAAACCAUUCCGUGCUUUUGCCUUUGUCACAUUUGCAGAUGAUCAGGUUGCCCAGGGUCUCUGUGGAGAGGACCUUAUUGUCAAAGGCGUCAGCGUUCACAUCUCAAAUGCUGAACCCAAACAUGGCAAUAGGCAGUUUGAUCGUACAGCGCGGUUUGGGAAUGGUUUUGGAGCUCAAGCAUUUGGUAGCAGCCGUAGUGGGUUAGGAAGCAGCACUAACAGUAGUCUGGCAAAUUUUGGUUCCUUUAGUCUGAACCCUGCUAUGAUGGCUGCUGCUCAAGCUGCUCUGCAAAGUAGUUGGGGGAUGAUGGGCAUGCUGGCUAGCCAGCAGCAGACAUCCACCUCAGGCAGCACCUCCAGCGGAACAAGCUCUAGUAGAGACCAGAGUCAGUCUUUCAGUACAGGCAACAGCAACUACGGCACCAGCUCAGCCAGUCUUGGCUGGGGAACAGGGUCAAACUCUACAACCAGCGGUAGUGGGUUUAGUUCAGGUUUUGGGUCCAGUAUGGAGUCAAAGUCAUCUGGGUGGGGUAUGUAAGUUAAGUGUUUGUAUGGUAAGUAUUGUGAGAAAGAUGAGUCUUUUCAAAAUUUAUUUCUGGUGUUAAUGCGUAUCUGAAAACUUAACACUUUUGUGGAAGAUGUUUUGUACAUUUGGAAAAAAAUGCUAAAGAUUUAAUUUAGAAAGUGUUGAAGUGAAUUGUUUACCAGGAUGUCUGACUAAAGUGCUAUUUUUGAUGUCUCAUUUGUUUGUAUCCAUUUCAACUGGAUUCUCUAAUGCAUGUAUUGUGAAAUGUGAUAUAAUCAUUUUGAAACUGCAUGAAUGUUUGUGGUUCACCAUUAUCCGGCUUUGUCAUCUACUUUAAAAGGCAAUCUUGCAUUGGGAAGAAUCUGGUUGAAACCUAAAUGUUUUAAGUGCAACUUUAUUUGCAGUCAAGUUCUGUGGAAAAGCCUUCAUUGAAAUCUCUUCUGCAGUUCACCUCUCUUCCAUUUUCCUGUGAGGAAGCUCCUCUUUGGCAGCAUUCUUGGGGUGAUAUCGGUAUCAUUCUCCCUCUUCCCACCUGUAAAUGCUAUGCCAUCAAAGAACGGCUUCACUCCGCAUGUUCUAAGAGACGGGACCUUGGGCUCUGCUGGUCGAGGUCUCCGUUUGAACCCUGACUGAAGUCUGUUCUGAAGGACGAAGACGGAAGUUCCAACACUUUCAGUGUGUGGCCUUCUCAGACAUGACAUGGGGUAGUACCUGUCUUUUUGCUGCUUGUGAUGGCUUGUCAGAGUGAAUUAUCCCUUUUUGAUUCUUCACACCUGCUUAUAAGGUUAAAGGGAAGUUCUUGUUUUGAUUUUUAAUGUCAGUGGACAAACUCUGCAAUGUGGCAUCACCUUUUUCAAACUGUCCCCAAUUUGGCUAAAGUAAUAAGGAAACUGCCACAUUGCUGAGUCUUGGAAUAGUUGAAAGGUAUUUUUUUAGGUAAUCUUGUGUUAUGAGUAGUUUUCCUGACAGUCAACCUGAGGUUUACCCAUGUGUAAAACACACUUAGAUAAUUAAACUAUUAUUAACGCAUUUAGUAGAUCAGUCUUAACCAAUCCAAGAUUUUGAAGUUGGCUUCAAAGUUCUUCAUAACUUUUGUUGCCAAAUGCACUAUAAUUUGACAUUGCAUCAGCAGGUCCAAGGACAGAUAAGGUUAGAAAGUUAUCCCAGUACAUAAUACACUGUAAUAUGA